GCUGGGCGCGGUGGCUCACGCCUGUAAUCCCAGCACUUUGGGAGGCCGAGACGGGCGGAUCACCUGAGGUCAGGAGUUCGAGACCAGCCUGGUCAACAUGGUGAAACCCCGUCUCUA
ensembl:misc_RNA Metazoa_SRP Metazoan signal recognition particle RNA